rnacentral:rRNA from 1 species
CGGGUACGGAGCAGCGAACGGGUGAGUAACACGUGAACAAACUGUCCCCACAUUUCCGGAUAAUUUGAUCGAAAGGUCUUGUAAUACGGGGGAGGAUUCCGAUGAGGCAUCUUAUUGGAAGGGAAGGCGCAAGCCGUGCGGGGAGGUGUUCGCGGCCUAUCAGUUAGUUGGUGGGGUAACGGCCUACCAAGACGACGACGGGUAGCUGGUCUGAGAGGAUGGUCAGCCACAUUGGAACUGAGAUACUGUCCAGACUCCUACGGGAGGCUGCAGUCGAGAAUCUUGGGCAAUGCACGAAAGUGUGACCCAGCGACGCCGCGUGAAGGAUGAAGGAGCUCUGCUUCGUAAACUUCUUUUAUGAGGAAAGAAAAGCCUUCGGGCCUUGACGGUACCUCAUGAAUAAGCCACGGCUAACUACGUGCCAGCAGCCGCGGUAAUACGUAGGUGGCAAGCGUUGUCCGGAUUUACUGGGCGUAAAGCGAACGCACGCGGAUGGUUAAGUAAGAAGUGAAAGGUUGCAGCUCAACUGCGACACUGCUUCUUAUACUGGCGUCUU